GGACCGGACAGGGAAGGGCCCUCUGGGGCUGCAGAUGCCGGCCCAGGGAAGCGCCUGGGGACCGGGAACCGGGGACCGGGACCUGGAGAUCUAGUCCCGGACCACCAAGCGGAAGUAAGGUCCCCCCCCUCACCUCGGAGCAUCGGCUCGGGCCGCGGGAUCACGGCCACCACCACGGCCUCGUCGUCAUCCUCCCCUUCCUCACACUUGAGCGUCACCUCGAAGCAAUCCAGAGCCGCGGCGCCCUUGGCUUUCAGGGCCAUGGCGAGGCGAAGAAGGGCGACCCGAUAGCCGAGGACGUUCGCACAGACCUCGGCGCACCGCCUGUGGCGGCCGCCUCCUGCCCCGGACCACCCCGGGCCCGCGGCUCGCCCNNNNNNNNNNNNNNNNNNNNNNNNNNNNNNNNNNNNNNNNNNNNNCCCCGCCGCUCCCUUUUAUGGAGGCUCAUUGUCAGCGUCCGUCCGGCAGUCCCGCCUCCAGACCAGGCUGGCCAAUCACGUGAGGACACGCCCCCUAGCCCCGCCCCAGCCACAGGUCUGGGCCAGAACCCUGUGCAGCGCGUUUGUCUCUGGCCGGUUUGCUCGGCGGCGAAGCCUGGAGUUUUCCUGGGAGCGGCGCCGGCAGCCUUGGAGACCCGGUAGGGCAUCCCCACCAAUGGCUGGAGGAAAGGGCUGCUCGGCAUCUUACUUCUUGGCUUUCCCCUGACUAGCUGCCUGGGAGGCAACACAGACGAGAAAAGACCGGUGGGGAUGUGUGAAGGAUACAUAGGCUCAGAAGUGUGGAGACAUCUCUUCUAAUUUCUUUGGGCCUCGUUCCUUUCUACUAGCACAUACGCUUUAGGGAAAGAAAAAUCACUUUGGAUCCUCCUAAACAAAGAUUCUAGAAGAUGAAGAGGACAAGAGUGGCGUGUGGGCGUGUGUAAACCGCUUCCGAUGGAUAUAAUUUACGUUAAAAACAAAACAAAACAAAAAACGUGAGUCCAGAGAGUGUGGCCUUUUCCCAGGACACAGCAAAUCCCCUGAGAGCCUCCAAGACCGGGAUCCGGUUGCUAUGGCGCUGCUGCCUGGCAUUCGUGCCUGAGUGAAGACUGUCACAAUGGGCACUUACACUUCUGCAUAACAUCCCCUCCCCACACACAUACACACACCAGACACGCUAGAUUUCAGCUGAGAAACGGCAAAAAUGUCUGGCACUCAAAAUUCUGAUUUUAAGUGCUACCAACAGUAAUUAUCAGCCCAGAAACAGUAAUUGUGGAUGAUGUAGGAGGCUAGGGGACAGAAGAGAAACAGUUCACUUACGCUCGCGCCCUGGGCAUACCCAACCCCCCCCCCACUGCAUCACCAGUUUUUAUUCUGUUGAGAUAAGGACUCACUUUCAUGUCAGUCUGACCUGGAAUCUGUGUAACCCUGCUUGCCCCAAACCUUUUCCUCCUCCCUCCAUUCCUCUGGCACAAGGAUUAAAGGUCUGAGCUGACACCACAUACAGCAGCCACAAUAGAAAGAACUGAGGAAAUUUCUAUUACUUUGAAAUGUACCCAGUACUAAAAAGAUACUCCAAAUCAAGCAAUUUCCUAGGCCUGGAUAGUUCUUACCUAAAGGCUGUUCUUUGCUUUUUGCCCAAUGCCUCUGGGUAGGUAGUCUGUUCUGUUUUUGCA
ensembl:antisense 1700105P06Rik RIKEN cDNA 1700105P06 gene